AGAGUUUGAUCAUGGCUCAGAUUGAACGCUGGCGGCAUGCUUUACACAUGCAAGUCGAACGGUAACAGGGUGCUUGCACCGCUGACGAGUGGCGAACGGGUGAGUAAUGCAUCGGAACGUACCCAGUCGUGGGGGAUAACGUAGCGAAAGUUACGCUAAUACCGCAUACGUCCUGAGGGAGAAAGCGGGGGACCGUAAGGCCUCGCGCGAUUGGAGCGGCCGAUGUCGGAUUAGCUAGUUGGUAGGGUAAAGGCCUACCAAGGCGACGAUCCGUAGCGGGUCUGAGAGGAUGAUCCGCCACACUGGAACUGAGACACGGUCCAGACUCCUACGGGAGGCAGCAGUGGGGAAUUUUGGACAAUGGGCGAAAGCCUGAUCCAGCCAUGCCGCGUGAGUGAAGAAGGCCUUCGGGUUGUAAAGCUCUUUCAGCCGGAAAGAAAUCGCGCAGGAUAAUACUCUGCGUGGAUGACGGUACCGGAAGAAGAAGCACCGGCUAACUACGUGCCAGCAGCCGCGGUAAUACGUAGGGUGCGAGCGUUAAUCGGAAUUACUGGGCGUAAAGCGUGCGCAGGCGGUUAUGUAAGACAGAUGUGAAAUCCCCGGGCUCAACCUGGGAACUGCGUUUGUGACUGCAUAACUAGAGUACGGCAGAGGGAGGUGGAAUUCCGCGUGUAGCAGUGAAAUGCGUAGAGAUGCGGAGGAACACCGAUGGCGAAGGCAGCCUCCUGGGCCAGUACUGACGCUCAUGCACGAAAGCGUGGGGAGCAAACAGGAUUAGAUACCCUGGUAGUCCACGCCCUAAACGAUGUCAACUAGUUGUUCGGUGAGGAGACUCAUUGAGUAACGCAGCUAACGCGUGAAGUUGACCGCCUGGGGAGUACGGCCGCAAGGUUAAAACUCAAAGGAAUUGACGG
rnacentral:rRNA from 1 species